AGUCAACGAAACAGUUGUGGUAGAACUAAUUGCAACAGAAUUUUUAUUUACACUGCGCGAAAGUACCUACAUUUAUGUACAUUAUGUAAAAAGUCCUGCUCAUUUUACUAUGUAAUAAGUCGGGCAAAGGAGUUUAAAAAUGAAAAAUACCAAGUUUUUAAAGAUGUCACGUACGGAACACCAUACCCGAGAAUUUUGACUGUCACGCGCUGAAAUCGAUGACGUCAUUGUAAAAGUAUCAUGGCGGCACCCGUGUAAAAUUUUGAAAGAUUUCAAUAUCAUCGUAGAAACACCGCAUUUGGCGUGAAGAGAAGGUAGAAGAAAGCUGGUAACAAGAAGCAUUGUUUUGUGAAUAUGUAGAAUUUGGCAAUACACCGAAUUAUUGCAACACAAUGUAGAAGGCAGCUGGUAUUGAAAAGGAAGGUUUCGUGAAUGUCUAACAGGCGAUUCAGUGGAAAAGUUAAAUUAAAUGUAGAAGGCAGCUGGUAUUGAAGAGGAAGGUUUCGUGAAUGGCUAAGAUUUGGCGAUUCAGUGGAAAAGUUGAAUCAAAUGUAGAGGGCAGUUGGUAUUGAAGAAGGUUUCGUGAAUGUCUAAGUUUUGGCGAUUCAGUGGAAAAGUUGAAUUAAAUGUGAAAAACACAGACGGUUUACGAAACGCUUAAAUGUCAUGAGAAGAGAGAUUACAGCAAAGAGAUGGAGGACUGUCCUAUUUGUCAGAAAAGCAUAGUAGAUUGCGAUACACCCAUUGUUCGUCUUGGAGAGAAAGGCUGUACUGGAAUUAUCAAUGCCAACAGCAAAAGUGAACGUCCGGUAGAGGUGAAACCUGGAGAUAUAGUCCACACUCAAUGUCGGAAAGACUUUACAAGACCUCGAAAUAACUCAAAACCAUUGACGCCUAUCAUUAGUUCUCCUCAAAGAGUUCUUAGAUCUGACACUGAACAAUUUGAUUUUAAAUCAAAAUGCUUAUUUUGUGCUUCAUUUGCUAAAUGUUCUUUAUUUUCAAGAAAAAGAUCACAUGAUGUCUAU